rnacentral:tRNA from 1 species
AGGUGUUUAGGAUAACAAACAGACCGAGAGCCUUCAAAGCCCUAAGCAAGUAUACAUACUUAACCCCUG